AAUGCUAAACAAGAGUCCCUGGCAAUCCAUCCCCUCUGUGCUGCUUUGGCUAAUAAGGAAGUAUUAGCCUGAGCAGCAAUGGGCAGCUGUGAUUGGCUGAGAGUGUCAGCUGACUGCUUUUAGCCUGUCAGAGUUCCAACUGACGUAUGAAUGGGUAUGACAACAAGGAAGUGUGUAAUCUCUGCCUUAGCUACACAUACUGAAGGGGCCGGACUGUGGGUGGCCAGGGACUCUUAUUUUGUGGCAUACUGCACGAACAUGGUGCAACACUGAAUGGAGGGACAGUGCCAGGACACUCCAGGCACUAUAACCAGUUCAAAGAGAUGAAAUGCUUAUAGUGACUACUGUGUCCCUUUAAU